GAUGAACGCUGGCGGCGUGCCUAAUACAUGCAAGUCGAGCGAACGGACGAGAAGCUUGCUUCUCUGAUGUUAGCGGCGGACGGGUGAGUAACACGUGGAUAACCUACCUAUAAGACUGGGAUAACUUCGGGACACCGGAGCUAAUACCGGAUAAUAUUUUGAACCGCAUGGUUCAAAAGUGAAAGACGGUCUUGCUGUCACUUAUAGAUGGAUCCGCGCUGCAUUAGCUAGUUGGUAAGGUAACGGCUUACCAAGGCAACGAUGCCUAGCCGACCUGAGAGGGUGAUCGGCCACACUGGAGCGGAGACACGGUCCAGACUCCUACGGGAGGCAGCAGUAGGGAAUCUUACGCAAUGGGCGAAAGCCUGACGGAGCAACGCCGCGUGAGUGAUGAAGGUCUUCGGAGCGUAAAACUCUGUUAUUAGGGAAGAACAGAUGUGUAAGUAACUGUGCACAGCUUGACGGUACCUAGUCAGAAAGCCACGGCUAACUACGUG
rnacentral:rRNA from 1 species